CUGCGGAGGGUGCGCGGGUUCCCCAGCAGUGCUGGCCCACCGGUGCUGCGCUCGAUUUCUCGCCUGGCCUUAGCUGCCUCCCCGCGGGGCGGGGCUCGGGACCUACAGCGGGCCAUGCCUGAGUCUCCUCCCCACCCCGCCGUGGGCUCCUGCGCGGCCUGAGCCUCCCCGACGAGCACCACCCCCUGCUCCAGGGCGCCUGGUCCCAUCAACCGCCCAAGGGCUGAGGGGUGCCGGCACACGGUGGGGGACUGGCAGGCAGCUCCACCUGCGGCCGUGGUGCGGGAUCCACUGGAUGAAGCCAGCUGGGCUCCGGAGUCUAGUGGGCAUUUGGAGAACCUUUAUGUCUAGCUAAGGGAUCGUAAAUACACCAAUCAGCACUCUGUAUCUAGCUCAAGGUUCCUAAACACACCAAUCAGCACCCUGUGUCUAGCUCAGGGUUUGUAAAUACACCAAUCAACACUCUUAUCUAGCUAAUCUAGUGGGGAGGUGGAGCACUUUUGUGUCUAGCUCAGGGAUUGUAAAUGCACCAAUCAGCAUCCUGUCAAAACGGACCAAUCAGCUCUCAGUGAAACAGACCAAUUGGCUCUCUGUAAAAUGGACCAAUCAGCAGGAUGUGGGUGGGGCCAGAUAAGAAUAAAAGCAGGCUGCCUGAGGUUGCGGUGGUAACAUGUUUCGGCGUCCUUCCACACUGUCGCGGCUUAUGUUGUUUUGCUGUUUGGGUUUGCACUGUCUUUUUGAGCUGUAACACAGCAAAGGUUUGCAGUUUCGCUCCUGAAAUCAUCGAGACCACAAACCCACCGGGAAGAACGAACAACUCCAGACGCACCGCUUUAAGAGCUGUAAUACUCGUUAGGAAGGUGUGCAGCUUGACUCCUGAGUCAGCGAGACCAUGAACCCAUCAGAAGGAAAAAACUCCGAACAUCAGAAGGAACAAGUUUCAGACACGCCACCUUUAAGAACUGUGAUACUCACCGCGAGGGCCCGCGGCUUCAUUCUUGAAGUCCGUGAGACCAAGAACCUACCAAUUCCGAAUACGUUGGGUUCAAGUGGUUCUCCUGCCUCAGACUCCCGAAUACCUGGGACUACAGGCACCCACCACGCCCGGGUAAUUGUAUGACAAUGGAGAGGUGAUUACUGCGCUGAAAAUCAGUUUCCUGAAGUGAAAAAGGGAAUCAAGUUACGUCACAGAGCCUGGUGUGAGCGGCGCUCUGUCAACACCAGCUCUUCAUGGGUUGUGGUUUCCUCCAGUUCCUGGAUGUGUGGAGUUCAUCCUCCACUGACUGGCGCCCCGGUUGACAAUGAGGUCUGGAAAUUGGCAACUGAUGAAGGGAAGUGUAUCAGUCCGUUUUCAUGCUGCUGAUAAAGACACACCCGAGACUGGGAAGAAAAAGAGGUUUAAUGGACUUACACUUCGACAUGGCUGGGGAGGCCUCACAAUCGUGGUAGAAGGCAAGGAGGAGCAAGUCACAUCUUACGUGGAUGGUGGUGGGCAAAAGAGAGAGAGCUUGUGCAGGGGAACUCCUCUUUUUAAAAGUAUCAGAUCUCGUGAGAUUUAUUCACUAUUAUGACAACAGCAGAAGACAGACCUGCCCCCAUGAUUCAAUUACCUCCCACUGAGUGCCUCCCUCAACAUGUGGGAAUUACGAGUUAUACUUCAAGAUGAUUUGGGUGGGGACACACAGCCAAACCAUAUUAGGGAGCAGGAAAAAGAAACAAAAACAGCAACUAAUAACUCCCAAGACCACAGCUUCGCUCCUGUCUAGAGCUUUGCUACUUAGCCACAGGAACACGGGUGAUCAUACCUCAACAGAAGUCUGCCAGCAUUCAUUACGACCAGUGCUUAAUCUCAUCUGACAAUAUCAAUGUCAAAAUCAGAGCUUGGAGCUGGCGGUGUUUCAGCAGAGGAGUCUUUGGAGCUUCCACGAACUGGUUCAAUAAACAAUCUUGCUGUGAAACACAGAGCUUGGUAUUUAGAAGGGUUUUAGCUGGCAUAUCCACAAAGCUGCAGCAUCCUGUCCACUGCUAAUUCCACUGUGAAAUGUUGAAAUACAGCUCUUAGCUCCGAGAAAGCAUGUAGGCUUCUAUUUGCAUGCAAAUCAUUGCCAUUCAUGUGUGAACUACAGCAGGUAACAGCUCUGCCAGAUGGAAUAAUUUGGGGCAUCCCUGGAGUUGAGUAACUAGUUCUGGCUGCUGGUCUCCAGGUGACAUGUGUCACGUUUGAGCUAAGGUAAAAACAUCAAAAUCUGAGCAACAUCCCUGAAGAUAUAGCUGAAAAAAGCUUUUCUACACCUUGUCCUUCUUAAAAGCAAUUCAUUUCCACAUAAGAAAGUAUUAUUAGACUUCACAAUAGUUUUGAAAUAUAAUAUUAAUUUGCAAGGUUAUUAUGGCCAAUAGCUCAAAAUAACUCUUGAAACUUACUAAUGACAUCAUCCUGUUUAUUAUUCCAUGGAGCUAGGUGGCAAAUGGUAGGCAUUUCAUUUUAGUGCUCUUGAUGAAUAAAUGAACAAACAAUUAUAUUUUUUGUUGAGUGUUCUUUAUCU
rnacentral:lncRNA from 10 species